rnacentral:rRNA from 1 species
GAGUUUGAUCCUGGCUCAGGACGAACGCUGGCGGCGUGCCUAACACAUGCAAGUCGAACGGAACUUCUUUAAAGGAUUUCUUCGGAAUGAAUUUGAUUAAGUUUAGUGGCGGACGGGUGAGUAACGCGUGAGUAACCUGCCUCUAAGAGGGGAAUAACAUUCUGAAAGAAUGCUAAUACCGCAUAAUAUAUAUUUAUCGCAUGGUAGAUAUAUCAAAGAUUUAUCGCUUAGAGAUGGACUCGCGUCCGAUUAGUUAGUUGGUGAGGUAACGGCUCACCAAGACCGCGAUCGGUAGCCGGACUGAGAGGUUGAACGGCCACAUU